UUAAAAAAACAUCUCUUAGAAAACAAGCGCGAACGUGAAGCACGUGAAGCAAUUCUUCGUCCUUCAUCUUUCAGCUAUCUAAAAUGGAAGUCGAGUAUCUCCUCAUGAAUUCCUCUCCUUAUCUGACCUUCCUUCUUUCUCCCUCCAUCUCUACUUCGAUAAUCUUCUUCACUUUAUGCCUACCGACUCUGAUCUCAUCGACCGCACUCUCAAAAUGGGUUUUCUCCUUCUCGAUGCUGCCAAACACUCCUCUCGCAAACGCGCCAAAAUAAUUACAAAUAGAUACCGAGAUAUCACAAUUCGACUCUUCCAACGGUCUAGGGUUAAUCGUUUAUGAAGAAAUCCCAAUCGGCACUGACCUAAUUGUUCUACCUCAACAUAUUCCUUUACAUUUGACCGAUUCUGACUCUCUCCUACUUCAAUUCACCAACCACGUUCCCGCAUUUGGCAGAUGGACUAUGGGCAAUGAAACUAGGUUUAAGGCUUCUUCAUGAAAGGGACAAACUUGGAUCUUUUUAGUGGCCGUAUAUAAGCAAUCUUCCACUGUUCCUAUUUUCUUUCAUGGGGAAGAUAUUAAGAAUUUGCAGUAUGUUCCUAUCUUCUAUUCGCAGUAUUAAAAUUGAAACGCAUAAAAUUGGUUUGAGUGAUUUUACUUUGUCUUUGUUUUUAUUCUCCUUUAUUAUUACUAGCAGCUAUCAAGGUAACCAAUUGAGGGUUGUGAUAAUAGGCAACCUAGUUUCUUUAACACUAGUAACAUUUUUUGGAUUGGCUUAAGUGGACCCAAGUAUUGAAAUUGAAAGAUUGACCUCCUUGCGGUGUCUUGUUACUACUGAAUUAGUGUAUUUUUAAAUGUUAUAAAUGAAAGAACUUGAGUCAUAAUCA